UCAGACGAUGCGUCAUGCAUAUCAAUAAGCGGAGGAAAAGAAACUAACAAGGAUUCCCUUAGUAACGGCGAGUGAAGCGGGAAGAGCUCAAAUUUGAAAUCUUCAAGGUUUUACCUUGACGAAUUGUAGUUUAAAGAAGUGUUUUCUGUUGAAGUUUUGGUAAAAGUUCUUUGGAAUAGGACAUCAUAGAGGGUGAGAAUCCCGUAUUUGACCAUUAUUUUCAGCUGUGUGAUACACUUUCAAAGAGUCGGAUUGUUUGGGAAUGCAGUCCAAAAUGGGUGGUAAAUUUCAUCUAAAGCUAAAUAUUGGCGAGAGACCGAUAGCGAACAAGUACCGUGAGGGAAAGAUGAAAAGAACUUUGAAAAGAGAGUUAAACAGUACGUGAAAUUGUCAAAAGGGAAGCGUUUGGCACCAGUGUUGUCUUCUCGAAAAUCAAUUAAAAAGAGUUGGAUUUUGUGUUGUAUUGACCUUAACAGCUUGCUUCACUCUUUUCCUGCUUUUUUUAAUGCACUUUUCGUUUAACAAGUCAACAUCAGUUUCUUUUGUUGUAAAAGGGUCAUUGGAAGGUGGCUUUCUCUUCGGAGAAAGUGUUUAUAGCCUUUGAUCUCUGCAAUCGGAGAGACUUGAGGUCUGCAGCGUAGAUCCUUCGGGGUUAGAUACAUUUGUGCUAAGUUAUAGCCUUUUCAUAGACAACUUGUUGACUAUGAUUCAGUCAUGUAACUUACUCGCUUAUGCUAUUUUACCUACGCUUAGGAUGUUGAUAUGCAUGACUGAUAU
rnacentral:rRNA from 1 species